rnacentral:lncRNA from 1 species
GCAUUAAUUAAUAUUUAUGCCAGAUAUUUAAUUAUUCUAUAAAAUUAUAUACUCUACAGGCCUUAAAGCAUUGUUAAUAUUUUUGUUAUGUACUUUAAAUUUCAUUAAUUUUCUUCAUAACUGUGGCAAAUUCUGUUUGUUUUCUUCUAGUUGUUAUAAUGUAAUGUAAUUAAUUAUAUGUAUACCAUAUGUAUUUUCUUCUAAUUUUAAAACGGAAAGCUGAAUUAAUGAGGCAAAUUCAAAAAAAGUUUAUGAAAUAUAACUUAAACUCAAUAAAUAAACCAAAGCGAACGGGCAUUCUCUAGAUGGAGAAAGUUGAAUUUCGAAAAGAAAGCAUCAGUUGGUAUACUUCAUCUAUGGCAUAUAAUAUUCGGUGCGGGGGUUCGAUACUUUUGAGCGAAUAUACAUGGCUAAAAUCUCUCGAGUAAAGACUUCACAGGUCGUUGUUUGGUCGACUUCAAAUGGUUUCGCUUUACUUCCCCUCCCCUCUCUCAUAGGACUCGGAACAAAAGUGUAUGGACCAUUAGUUUCUAGAUGGGGGAGGUAAAGACGAUUUGCAUGUGAACUUUUCUACUGAUUAAGUGUCGCGUCGUCCCCAAGGCUGGUAACUUAUUGUUCCCUAUUGUCUUAUUGCGAAAGAAGCGAGAGAUUUUAGCUUAAUUAUUUCCUCUUUUGUACAGCGCGUUGUAAAUACGUCAUCGUUAUUGUGUCAGUAAUGGGACCAUCACUUCCGCACACGAUAAUUGGAGAGCGUUGAGCUGUUUUGUCUCCAUUCUAUAAAAUCCACAUCUCCUAUUUUUACACGCAGUGAAGUAUCGCCGCGAUUAAAAAUAGACCUAUUGUCAACUGAAAUACGAAGAUUUUCGAAUGUCGACUGCAGCGAAAUCGAACAUUCGACGUUGCAAAAUGGGUCAAACGCUAGGUUUCUGUAACUACUUUUGGUGAGUUGUUACAAAAACUGCGAUUUAGUUAAACUAUUGCCAUCAGGCCGUUAUGGCUUUGUUGUAACCAGUGACAGGUGUUAAAACACGGGAAACUUAACGAAAGUACUUAAUAAAACAGAUAUUUAUUAGUAUUCAGAAGGCCACGUGUACGGUUUAGCUAGACAAAAAUGAGAAGAGAGAAUGAGAGAGAGAGAAAGGGAGAGCGAGGGGAGCCCGCAUCGACUUCUUGCCGAUCAUCUAUCAUCGUUACCUAUAAUAGAAUUUCCCAUUACGAGAAGCGGUCAGUGUUUUCGGGGUGGGUAAAAGUUUUACUAAUCGCGUUACGGACGACGAAUUUCCAGUCGCCAGAGGGUGCUGUAGCGAGGACAUGCGCCGAUCCAUCAGAAAUCGUCGAUAUGAGGGCAGACAUCAGUUAUGGCUAAUGGCUGCACGUAUCGCCGGCUGUCCCUCAUGUCUUGAUUGGAUUACGGUUAGACGGGAUCCGGUCAUCCGCGGCCAUGACGUCAUCGACGAGAUGACACUCGUCCUUUCGGUCAUAAUAUACGAAUUCUUCUCCCCAAGUUGCAUUCUUAACAAUUCAACAAGUCUUCCUUACCUUAACCGGUAACGAUUCCCCACGCAUUGAUUUCUUCCGUAUCGAACGAAUUUUAAUAAGAACGUCAUAGAUCCAAAUCUUUAUUUUUAGAUUUAAUCACUAUUAUAACACUAAUAGUUAAUAAAUUAAAAAGAUAAAAUUUUCUGGCCCAGUUCCAGUUUCUUGUUAUUGUCCAUUAGACCAAUAGACUACUGUAUGCAAUCUAUACUCCAUCCUAAAAUUAUUAGUUUUUCCUAAUAAUAUUAAGAUCUUUUAUUAUAUUAAGAUAAGUCACUCUGAUCUAAAAGCAAAAUAAAUCAUUUAUUUAACAAUUUUAUACUAACUUUAAAAAAAAAUUCAUUAAUUAAAAAAUAUCGAAAAACUGAUUAGAUUAAUUUAUCCAGCAAGAAACUUAAACAGAGUAAGUUUUUAGGCAAAGAUAAUUUGUUUAUAUGCAGAAAGUUAUCAUUUAUAUUAGAUGGACAGUAAUAUAUAACAGAAAAACACGUUUGACUACUUAAUAUUUAAUUAAUUAUUAUAAAUUUUUAAUUGUUUUAAAGGGAAAAAAAUUGUUUAUGAAUGGUAAUUUCUGUUUCGGAUAAUUAUCAUUUCUCAAGAAUGAAUAUUUAUUCUAAAAAUUUUUCUUAAUAGCCUAGAUUGAUUGCAUUAAUUUAAAAGUGACUCAUAUAAAAUAAAUUCUUUGCUAUAAUCUUAAAGCAAUUUAUUUAAACAAAGAUGAUAACGAUAAAAAAUGAAGAAAAAAUCAAAAUUGAUAACUUGCCAUUUGUUUAAAAACAUCAAAUCUGAUUUUUUCGUAUUUUUUUUUUUUUUUUUAAGAAAUAU